AGUUUAGGGUCAAAUUUGGACAUUUUACCUCAAUUUAUAGACAGAUUAGGGUUUCAUUCUUGAUUGGAACUCUGUCUGCUGAGGCUGCAACUUCUUUCUGGUCUAACUCUGCUCUGCUUCUCCUCUUUAUCAGCACAGAGCGACUGAGAGAAAUGCCAGAAAGAAUUGACCACCGAGUGAGACAAAUAUAAUGAUGAUGGUAUGAGAAUGAUGUCCCGGUGGAGGUGGGGGCGGAGUUGGAACAACAGUGUGCUGGUGGUGGAGGAUAGAAGGGGCGAGGUGGUGGCUUAAUUGGUGAUGGAGGUGGUAUUGAAUGACUUCGUGGCUUUGCUGAUGGUUGCGGACUAGGAUAGUGAUGUGGUGGUGAUGGUGUAACCAGUGGACGUGAUGGCGCGGGUGGUGUGACUGGUGGAUGUGGUGGGGCCACUUUUGGUGGUGAUGGAGUAACGGGUGGACGUGGUGGGUCCACUUUUCGAGGGGAAGGAGGUGUAUUAGAUUGGUGUGGCGGUGACACAGUUGGAAGAAAUGGAUAGUUAUGAGGUGGGAAUGGAGGGAAAUAGGGGAAGUUGAAAUUUUGAGUGUUAGCCAUUGCAAUGGAAGUUUUUUGCUUUGCUAAAAGCUUGUACUGAGUAAGCUUUGUGUAAGAUGAUGCUUAUUGUUAGUGUUUUGUAUAUAUAUUAGAUGUUAGCAUGAUAAUAUGUAAGGUUCUUAUGACUCGACUCUCGGGCUAAGUUUUGCCAAGUUGUCCUUGGUUGCAUUCCAAAAUACUCAUUUCUUCAUUUUUCUCAGGCAGGUCAUGCUGAUCACAGGUUCAUGCCAUAAUCAUACCUCUGAACUGAAACACAAUUUUCUGUUA